rnacentral:rRNA from 17 species
AGUUAAUAAAGGCAUUAAGAGGAUACUUAAGCAUCAAAAUUCAUAUGGACGUUUAAUAACGAAAUGUUGUAAGGAGUAGAUAUAUUAUGCUGAGAUUUACAAUUUUCCAUAAAUUCGGAAAACCGAUUUCUUAUAGAUAAGAAAAUUGUUUAAAAUAUUUAAACAAAAAACUUGGUAAACUGAAUCAUCUAAGUAACCAAGAUCUAAAAUCAACCGAGAAGUUGUUAGUAGUGGCGAGUGAACGCAACGAUAGACUUAAGCAAAAAUUUUAUUUAAUAUUUAAAUAGCCAUAGAAGGUAACCUAAGUAAGGAUAGCCCUGUAAAGUAAAAUUUAAGCUUUUUAUUUUAGUAAAACGAAACAAGUCAUGUUUUGUUUGAAUAUUGAGGGCCCACCCUCAAAGUCUAAAAAUUUUGAUGACUGAUAGUGAAAAGUACUGUAAAGGAAAAGUGAAAAAGACUUCGCGAAAGUGAAAAGAUUUUGAAACUUAAUGCUAACAAUCUGUCAAAGCUUUUUAAAGUGAUGACGUACCUUUUGCAUAAUGGACCAACAAGUUUAUUUUAGUGGCGAGCUUAAAUAGUAAAAUGUGUAGGCGUAAAGAAAUUAAGUUUUAAAUUGCUUAUUAGUCUCUAGAAUAAAACCCGAAACUAAGUGAUCUAACCAUGGACAGGUUGAUGAAUAGGCGGCAACGCUUAUCGGAGGACCGAACCCGUGUAUGUGGCAAAAUACUGGGAUGAUCUGUGGUUAGGGGUGAAAGGCCAAUCAAACUUAGAGAUAGCUGGUUUUCUGCGAAAUCUAUUUAAGUAGAGCGUUUAAAAGACUUUUAUAAAGGUAGAGCUCUCGAUAAACAAUGGGGGCGUAAAGCUUUACUGAGUUUAUUGAAACUUCGAAUGUUAUUAAAAUGACUUUAAACAGACAGACUAUGAGUGCUAAGAUUCAUAGUCAAAAGGGAAACAGCCCAGAUUAUCAAUUAAGGCUCUUAAAAAUAAUUAAGUGAAAAAAUUGUGAAAAAAUGUCGACAACCGAAAGGUAGGCUUAGAAGCAGCCACCCUUUAAAGAAAGCGUAACAGCUCAUUGGUUUAGUUUUUUUGCAUUGAAAAUGUUUGGAACUAAAAUUAUUUGCCGAAAUUAUAGAUUUUUUAUAAAAAUGGUAGCAGAACGUUCUGUAUGUUAAAGAAGUUUUAUAGUAAUAUAAAAUGGAAAUAUCAGAAAUGAAAAUGUUGGUAUGAGUAACGAUAAACAAUGUGUAAAACAUUGUCGCCUUAAGUUCAAGGUUUCCAAAACAAGGCUAAUCCGUUUUGGUAUUUAAAAUUAAUCGGUCUCUAAGAAAAAAACGAAAGUUUUAUUUUAAUGAGAUAAAAAUAAAUUUUUUGAUUUUUAGGAGUGACAAAGCAUGAAUAUUAUUUGUAUUUUAUGGUUUAAAUAAAGGUUGUAUAAUGCUUUCUAGAAAUAGCUUCUUUAAAUAAAAACCGUACCCUAAACCGACACAGGUGAACAAGUUUAGUAAACUAAGGCGCUUGAGAGAAUUAUGUUGAAGGAACUCGGCAAAAUGACUCCGUAACUUCGG